rnacentral:rRNA from 7 species
UGGUGGGUAGUUUGACUGGGGCGGUCUCCUCCUAAAGAGUAACGGAGGAGCACGAAGGUUGGCUAAUCCUGGUCGGACAUCAGGAGGUUAGUGCAAUGGCAUAAGCCAGCUUGACUGCGAGCGUGACGGCGCGAGCAGGUGCGAAAGCAGGUCAUAGUGAUCCGGUGGUUCUGAAUGGAAGGGCCAUCGCUCAACGGAUAAAAGGUACUCCGGGGAUAACAGGCUGAUACCGCCCAAGAGUUCAUAUCGACGGCGGUGUUUGGCACCUCGAUGUCGGCUCAUCACAUCCUGGGGCUGAAGUAGGUCCCAAGGGUAUGGCUGUUCGCCAUUUAAAGUGGUACGCGAGCUGGGUUUAGAACGUCGUGAGACAGUUCGGUCCCUAUCUGCCGUGGGCGCUGGAGAACUGAGGGGGGCUGCUCCUAGUACGAGAGGACCGGAGUGGACGCAUCACUGGUGUU